AAAAGGACAAUGGGAGCUCUAGAGUCUUCGGCACUCCAGUUGUAAUCCAUUAAAAGAAAACCCCUCUUGAAAGCAACAAAAAAAUGCAUGGGAAAGGCCAACAAAUCAGAAGCUUUAAACGUCCAUCAAUCUACACCAUAAGAAAAAUCUUCCCAUUUCCCCAAAGCACUUUGGAGAUAACACCCUGUAGAAUUUGAAACUCACAGCAAAACAAUUUCUUCAGAAAACACUCCCACCUAACUCUUCAUUUCCCCUCCUUCUUGACUCUCUCGCCUCCUCCGUCCAUCGCUUAUCUUCAGCCACCAGCUCCGCAACACCAGAAGGGACUAGAUUCAACAGAUAAGUAGAAUCUCCUUUCUUAAUUCCUUCAGAUGCUAGAAAAUGGGCUACCUUGUUAGCCUCCCUGUUAGUAAAGAGAAAUACACAUAAACUGAAACUUAAACUCAGCUUCAAAGCAUCAUUGAUAUAAAUUGAGAUCUCAGAACUAUCAUUCAUCUUUUUUUGCAGCUUCCGGAUUACCGGCUAAGAGUCUCCCUCAACCUCCACCUCUCUCAAACCAAGUUGUACCCCAAGAUUCAGAGCCUGAACACACGCAACCGUUUCUGCUGCAAAUACAGACGGUAUGUUUGUGUUCAUUACAGUUUUUGAACAUAUGAUCCUAGCUUCCUUAUUACGCACCACUAAUCCUGAGCAUGAUUCUUUUUUUUAUGGUUGUUGAAAGCUGCGCCAAAGUUUAUUUUCAGCCUCGAUCCCAUCGGUACAACCCAUCUGUCCACAUACACCCUUCUUUCAGAAGGGCAUUCACGAAACAGAUGCUCCUUUGUCUCCGCUCCAGAUUAACACCACCGACACGUAGGAGAAUCCAACAUUCUUCGAUAGUGUAGAUUACUGAAAGUAGGUACAUAGUUACACAAAAGUCUCCAAACUGUAAUUUUAAUUUUAGGAGGUAGGUCCAGUUUCCAUAGUUUCUUGUAAAGUUGUAUGUAAUCUGCUUGUAUUUGGUUUCGUCCUUCAUGUAAAAGGAUUUUGUGACCAAUACGAACCGAGUACUCCCCAGACAACUCACGCCUCCAGAUGAGAGAAUUUUCUUGCUCAAACAAAGGAAGAGGAAUGCAAAGAAUUCUUUUUGCAACUGGCAUAGAGAAGUGUCGCAAAUGUUAGCUCGAGUUGGAGGUCACCGGAGGUUAAAUCACACUAUCAAACUAUUGAUCGAUAUAUAAAUGUUUUAAAGUAUUUUAAGUCUUUGGGAUGCAUGGAGACUCGUUUAAUUGUUAUUAAAUUUUUAGGAAUUGGCUUAAAAUACUGACCUAUGUUAUUUGAAGGUCUUUAUUGUAUAAAGUCAUUUAAUGUAGAUAGUCUUGACUAUGUUAUUAAUUAAAUGAUGCAAUUUAUGAA